AGAGUUUGAUCAUGGCUCAGAUUGAACGCUGGCGGCAGGCCUAACACAUGCAAGUCGAGCGGUAGCACAGAGAGCUUGCUCUCGGGUGACGAGCGGCGGACGGGUGAGUAAUGUCUGGGAAACUGCCUGAUGGAGGGGGAUAACUACUGGAAACGGUAGCUAAUACCGCAUAAUGUCGCAAGACCAAAGUGGGGGACCUUCGGGCCUCAUGCCAUCAGAUGUGCCCAGAUGGGAUUAGCUUGUAGGUGGGGUAACGGCUCACCUAGGCGACGAUCCCUAGCUGGUCUGAGAGGAUGACCAGCCACACUGGAACUGAGACACGGUCCAGACUCCUACGGGAGGCAGCAGUGGGGAAUAUUGCACAAUGGGCGCAAGCCUGAUGCAGCCAUGCCGCGUGUGUGAAGAAGGCCUUCGGGUUGUAAAGCACUUUCAGCGGGGAGGAAGGCGGUGAGGUUAAUAACCUCAUCGAUUGACGUUACCCGCAGAAGAAGCACCGGCUAACUCCGUGCCAGCAGCCGCGGUAAUACGGAGGGUGCAAGCGUUAAUCGGAAUUACUGGGCGUAAAGCGCACGCAGGCGGUCUGUCAAGUCGGAUGUGAAAUCCCCGGGCUCAACCUGGGAACUGCAUUCGAAACUGGCAGGCUAGAGUCUUGUAGAGGGGGGUAGAAUUCCAGGUGUAGCGGUGAAAUGCGUAGAGAUCUGGAGGAAUACCGGUGGCGAAGGCGGCCCCCUGGACAAAGACUGACGCUCAGGUGCGAAAGCGUGGGGAGCAAACAGGAUUAGAUACCCUGGUAGUCCACGCCGUAAACGAUGUCGAUUUGGAGGUUGUGCCCUUGAGGCGUGGCUUCCGGAGCUAACGCGUUAAAUCGACCGCCUGGGGAGUACGGCCGCAAGGUUAAAACUCAAAUGAAUUGACGGGGGCCCGCACAAGCGGUGGAGCAUGUGGUUUAAUUCGAUGCAACGCGAAGAACCUUACCUGGUCUUGACAUCCACAGAACUUAGCAGAGAUGCUUUGGUGCCUUCGGGAACUGUGAGACAGGUGCUGCAUGGCUGUCGUCAGCUCGUGUUGUGAAAUGUUGGGUUAAGUCCCGCAACGAGCGCAACCCUUAUCCUUUGUUGCCAGCGGUUCGGCCGGGAACUCAAAGGAGACUGCCAGUGAUAAACUGGAGGAAGGUGGGGAUGACGUCAAGUCAUCAUGGCCCUUACGACCAGGGCUACACACGUGCUACAAUGGCAUAUACAAAGAGAAGCGACCUCGCGAGAGCAAGCGGACCUCAUAAAGUAUGUCGUAGUCCGGAUUGGAGUCUGCAACUCGACUCCAUGAAGUCGGAAUCGCUAGUAAUCGUAGAUCAGAAUGCUACGGUGAAUACGUUCCCGGGCCUUGUACACACCGCCCGUCACACCAUGGGAGUGGGUUGCAAAAGAAGUAGGUAGCUUAACCUUCGGGAGGGCGCUUACCACUUUGUGAUUCAUGACUGGGGUGAAGUCGUAACAAGGUAACCGUAGGGGAACCUGCGGUUGGAUCACCU
rnacentral:rRNA from 1 species